UUGUUGCAGUUAAAAAGCUCGUAGUUGGACCUUGGGCAGGAGGCACGGGUUGGCCGAAUGGCUCGACUCGGGUCUCCGGCCUCUAUGGGUGGUCGUGCCUUUGGUACGGUUCGCCCGGGUUACUGUGAAGAAAUUAGAGUGUUUAAAGCAGGCGAUUGCUUGGAUACAUCAGCAUGGAAUAACAAGAUAGGACCUGGUUCCACUUGUUGGUUUGGGGGCUUUGGUAAUGAUUAAUAGGGCCAGUUGGGGGCAUUAGUAUUCAGUAGUCAGAGGUGAAAUUCUUGGAUUUACUGAAGACUAACUAGUGCGAAAGCAUUUGCCAAGUAUGUUUUCAUUAAUCAAGAACGAAAGUUAGGGGAUCGAAGACGAUCAGAUACCGUCGUAGUCUUAACUAUAAACGAUGCCGACUCGGGAUCGGCAGACGUCGUUAGCGACACUGUCGGCACCGUGUGAGAAAUCAAAGUUUUUGGGUUCUGGGGGGAGUAUGGUCGCAAGGCUGAAACUUAAAGGAAUUGACGGAAGGGCACCACCAGGAGUGGAGCCUGCGGCUUAAUUUGACUCAACACGGGAAAACUCACCAGGUCCGGACAUAGUAAGGAUUGACAGAUUGAGAGCUCUUUCUUGAUUCU
rnacentral:rRNA from 1 species